CCUUUGAAUGUUCCAGGCCGUUAAUUCUGUGUUCAAUGAGGUCUUGUGAUUUGUCUCUUUGCAUUAGUAAGUCAGUGCCUAUAUUUCUCCUUUUUGUCUUUUAAAAAUAAUAAAUAGUGUGCUGCUGAAAUUCUGCCUCAACUGUUCUCUCUGCCGACCUGCAGUACAAAGGACACCAAGAAAAAGCAAAAUAUGGUGAGGUUGCAGCUUUCAGCGAUACACUAGGAUUGUUCUGAACGAAAGACCAGCCAUCCUUCAGGAAUGGGGUGGCCAUAUAUUCUCUUUUAGAGGUGAUGAUCUUCUCUUUGAAGCACGGUUCUCCUUAGUGAGAUGCUUCACUGUUUCUCACAGACAACAGUCUG
rnacentral:lncRNA from 1 species